GACGGAGGAUGCAAGCGUUAUCCGGAAUUAUUGGGCGUAAAGCGUCCGCAGGUGGUUUAUCAAGUCUGUUGUUAAAGCGCAGGGCUCAACCUUGUAUAGGCAAUGGAAACUGAAAGACUAGAGUUCGGUAGGGGUAGAGGGAAUUCCCGGUGUAGCGGUGAAAUGCGUAGAUAUCGGGAAGAACACCAGUGGCGAAAGCGCUCUACUGGGCCUGAACUGACACUGAGGGACGAAAGCUAGGGGAGCGAAAGGG
rnacentral:rRNA from 1 species